GUAGGUGGCAAGCGUUGUCCGGAAUUAUUGGGGCGUAAAGCGCGCGCAGGCGGUUCUUUAAGUCUGAUGUGAAAGCCACGGGCUCAACCGUGGAGGGUCAUUGGAAACUGGAGAACUUGAGUACAGAAGAGGAAAGCGGAAUUCCACGUGUAGCGGUGAAAUGCGUAGAGAUGUGGAGGAACACCAGUGGCGAAGGCGGCUUUCUGGUCUGUAACUGACGCUGAGGCGCGAAAGCGUGGGGAGCAAACAGGAUUAGAUACCCUGGUAGUCCACGCCGUAAACGAUGAGUGCUAAGUGUUAGGGGGUUUCCGCCCCUUAGUGCUGCAGCUAACGCAUUAAGCACUCCGCCUGGGGAGUACGGCCGCAAAGGCUG
rnacentral:rRNA from 1 species